AGGACGAACGCUGGCGGCGUGCUUAACACAUGCAAGUCGAGCGGAAAGGCCCUUCGGGGUACUCGAGCGGCGAACGGGUGAGUAACACGUGAGCAACCUGCCCUUGGCUCUGGGAUAGCCUCCGGAAACGGGGAUUAAUACCGGACAUUCACUUUCUCCUGCAUGGGGGUUGGUGGAAAGUUUUUCGGCCAGGGAGGGGCUCGCGGCCUAUCAGCUUGUUGGCGGGGUAACGGCCCACCAAGGCGACGACGGGUAGCCGGCCUGAGAGGGCGAUCGGCCACACUGGGACUGAGACACGGCCCAGACUCCUACGGGAGGCAGCAGUGGGGAAUAUUGCACAAUGGGCGCAAGCCUGAUGCAGCGACGCCGCGUGGGGGAUGAAGGCCUUCGGGUUGUAAACCCUUUCACCAGGAGCGAAUUCAGACGGUACCUGGGGAAGAGCGCCGGCUAACUACGCGCCAGCAGCCGC
rnacentral:rRNA from 1 species